CCCCGUGGAGAAGACCUAGCCGCCGCCUCCCGUCCCCUCGCCUCCCCCUCCUCGUCACCCUCCUCUCUCUCUCUCUCUCUAACCCCUCUCUCUCCCCAUCGUGCUGGCCGGUUCCACCGCGACCCCCGCCUCCUCUCCUGCCGCUGCCGCCGUCGGAGAAGCUCGCCUCCGCGCCCACAAGCCUCAGAUUCGGCGGGAUCCGGGACGAGGAGGGGUGGAUGAGACGAGGAAGGAGGAGGAGGAGAGAGUGGGGGCGUAUGGGGAGGAAUAUCCCUGCCGCCUCCUCCCUGCCUCCACAAGUCGAGGGGGAUGGGGCUGCUCGGGCUCAGCCUGUGGGAUGUCGACUGGACCGGCAGCGAUGGAGAAGAAGGGCCGGGCAGGUGCGUACAGGCGGGAGAAGCUGGGGGCGCUCGUCGGUUGGGGAGAUGGCGACCACCUGAGCUUCUCAGAUUGAUCUAGACAGGGCCACGACAGCAUAAUCAAGGGGUGGGGGCGGGCAACCCUCUGAAGCCACGCAUGUCUACAGAAGAGGAAUUUUGAGAAUGAGAUUGAUAAAGAUGAACAAGGAAGUAACGGUCAAGGAAGAAGAGUUAGAUGCUGCUGAAGAUGUCGAUGGUAAACAUAUGUCUCGGUUUUGAUAUUAUACACGUUGUCACGCUAACUUUUGAACCCUUCUUAAUUGUCACAUAUGCACAGAGCAGCCGCUUUGUCACAAGCAUGGCAGCCUGCUCAACUAUCUCCACUGCCUGCAUACAGCUGUUUCAGAACAGCGCCGAUCAACCCAGGUUUAUGUUUCCUUUCCAAGGGUGUUCGAAUAUAAUUACCAUCCAUCGAUUACAGAUGUUACCAGUACUGAGUGUGUGCCUUAUUAGUUUGUUCUUUAUUAUAGAGUUCGGUUGUAGAAGAACGAAAUGAAGCACACAUCAGGAAGUCAUGCUCUUUCCAACAACAACAACAAAAGAAUAAAUUCAAAUGAUUAGUAUAUGCAUAGCAGUGUAAUGCAAGUGAUAGCCGUGGUAAGGCCCAAGCGCAUAUAAGAGAACUUGAGGAAGAAGUGAAACUCCUCAAGAACCUUUCACACCCCAAUAUUGUGAGGUACCUCGGGACUGUCCGUGAGGAAGACACACUGAAUAUCCUGCUGGAGUUUGUUCCUGGAGGGUCUAUCCAGUCGCUUCUUGAAAAACUCGGUUCAUUCCCGGAGGCAGUCAUUAGGAAGUAUACUAAGCAGAUUUUGCAAGGGUUGGAAUAUCUCCAUAGCAAUGCAAUAAUACGUAGAGACAUUAAGGGUGCAAACAUUCUUGUUGAUAACAAAGGCUGCAUUAAGCUUGCCGAUUUUGGGGCAUCUAAGUGUGGUGUUCUUCCUUCAAUAAAUUGGCAGAUGCUUGCUUCUGUUAAUUAAAGUUCAGUCUUAGGAGGUACUGCCCUGUGCUUGAAUGCAGUUGUCUUUGUUUAGACAGCAGCCGAGCCCAGUCAACAAUUAUUAGUAGUAGUUACGAGAUAAGGCAGAGGAGGCAUAUAGGGCCAGCCGUCGUAUAUGCAAUGCAUGAAAGUCACUGUUGAUUCCAUUCAAGUAACGAAUAAAUAGUAGUUGCUAAUUCUAUUCAUAGUGAUUACAACCAUAGGUAAACGUAUGCUUCUAACUUUCAUAUGCAUGCUUCCCAGUGUACAUACGUGCGAGUUCAUCUUCGCCCUAGAUGCCUGUGGCUUCUCUCUUUUGGUGCAGUUUACAAAUAGAAUGCUAAGGCAAGUUUAAUUUCUAAUGUGCAUGUAAAUCCUUGAGAUUUUUGGUGUUUAUGAAGAUCCAAUAAACAAAGAGUUGAAUGAUAUGAAAGGGGAAAUAGACAGAAUAGUGAAAAUUAUGUGGCUAUAGUGCUGAUGAAUUUUAGGAUCUAAAGCUACUGCUUAUGGAUACCAAUAUUACAUUAGCAUUUGGUAUUUAGAUCUGCUUGCCUAUAAGCUCUAUAGGGAAACAUUUAUUCUCUGUUUGGACUUUGAUUUCUGAAUUUGGUUCCUUGCUGAAGGAAUAGCUGAAGCUUUGCUUUCUUAAAAAAAAGUAAAGCUUUGCUGCUGCACACUAUUUUCUUGCCUUUCCUUGAAGAUGAUUAUACAGAUUAGUUGCCAGCUUUAUCUCUCUACGAUUUGUGCCUCGGUUGCCAGGUUAUCUCAUAUGAAGCCAUGAACUGAACCUAGCAUUAACUAGAAAUAUAAACCAUUGUAUGAAGAUACUAUCUGAGUACGUACUUGCAUGUUCUUUAGAUCUACUACAUAUGAUUUAUUACGUAUAAAUAUGCCAUGUAAGUAUCUACUUUUAGAUCAUUAUUGCUCGCACAUAAAAUGGUUCCAGUAUCUGGUUUGAUUUUGUUUUUAUGUGUGCACAGAUCCUGUCAUGGAGAUGGUUGACAUUACGGACAAGUUCAUACUCAUGUUCAUUAAGCUGUAGCUCCCACAACCAGUUUUUCUGCUGCAAAGUUGGACAGAGGUUUGCAGUUACAAUCAAGUUCCGUACCAGCAUGCGGCAUCGGUGACAUGAUGCCGGAGCAAUGGCACUAUCGCGGAUUUUUGGUAUAUAUCUAUUUCCAUAGAAGAUGCAUGUAUGUUGCAGCGGCUCGAGUUGUUUAACGUUGUACCAGCAUGCGGCAUCGGUGACAUGAUGCUUGAGAACCUUGUUGUUUAACGCAAAUAUUUUCUUAUGUUCGGGUGACAAGCUUUAUGCUUUUGUGGCCAAUAUAGAUAAGAAAUUCCCAUUUA